GAUGAACGCUGGCGGCGUGCCUAAUACAUGCAAGUCGAACGGACAGGCGCAAGCCUGUUAGUGGCGAACGGGUGAGUAACGCGUGGGUGACCUGCCCCAAAGAGCGGGAUAACAGGCCGA
rnacentral:rRNA from 1 species